UCUGUGUUGGCUGCAUCAAUC
rnacentral:piRNA from 1 species